GGAAAAGAAACCAACCGGGAUUGCCUUAGUAACGGCGAGUGAAGCGGCAAAAGCUCAAAUUUGAAAUCUGGUACCUUCGGUGCCCGAGUUGUAAUUUGGAGAGGGCAACUUUGGGGCCGUUCCUUGUCUAUGUUCCUUGGAACAGGACGUCAUAGAGGGUGAGAAUCCCGUGUGGCGAGGAGUGCGGUUCUUUGUAAAGUGCCUUCGAAGAGUCGAGUUGUUUGGGAAUGCAGCUCUAAGUGGGUGGUAAAUUCCAUCUAAAGCUAAAUAUUGGCGAGAGACCGAUAGCGAACAAGUACAGUGAUGGAAAGAUGAAAAGAACUUUGAAAAGAGAGUGAAAAAGUACGUGAAAUUGUUGAAAGGGAAGGGCAUUUGAUCAGACAUGGUGUUUUGUGCCCUCUGCUCCUUGUGGGUAGGGGAAUCUCGCAUUUCACUGGGCCAGCAUCAGUUUUGGUGGCAGGAUAAAUCCAUAGGAAUGUAGCUUGCCUCGGUAAGUAUUAUAGCCUGUGGGAAUACUGCCAGCUGGGACUGAGGACUGCGACGUAAGUCAAGGAUGCUGGCAUAAUGGUUAUAUGCCG
rnacentral:rRNA from 1 species